CGUUUUAGGCUUUAUCAGUAGUAUGGUUAAUACCAAAAUUACAUGAUCUAGUACGGAAUUGCAUGGCUGUCGUCAGUUCGUGCUGUGAAGUUUAGGAUUAAGUUCUUUUUAACGAAUGCAACCCUAUAAGUAAGUUUUUAUUUUAUAAUAAAAUAUUUUAUAAAAUAUACUUAUUUAAUCUAUAAUUAGAUUAUAUUGAAUCUUUUCAUUAUAUUCUUUUAUAGGGGUUAUAGGCUGAAGUCAAGUCCCUAUGGUCUUUAUACGUUGGGCUACACACGUGUUACAAGGGUAAAAACAAAAAGACGCAAAAGAGCAAUCUUGAGCAAACCUUUAAAAAUUACCUUAGUUCAGAUUGUUUUAUGAAAUUCUAAAACAUGAAGAUGAAAUCGUUAGUAAUUGUAAAUUAUUAUGUUACAGUGAAACAAUAGUCAAAUUUUGCACACACCGCCCAUCACGCUCGGAAAGUCAAUAAUAGCGGAAGAUUUGAAAAACUCUGCGCAAAAUUAAUAUUAAUAUAAUAUUAAUUGUCUACGUAUUAUUUUUUAAUGGCAUGGUUGAAAAGUAGUAUCUAAUCUAGUAUUGGUAAUUUGAGUGAAGUUGACACAAGGUA
rnacentral:rRNA from 1 species